rnacentral:rRNA from 1 species
UUUUAUUUGAGAGUUUGAUCCUGGCUCAGGAUGAACGCUGGCGGCGUGCCUAACACAUGCAAGUUGAGCGAUUUACUUCGGUAAAGAGCGGCGGACGGGUGAGUAACGCGUGGGUAACCUACCCUGUACACACGGAUAACAUACCGAAAGGUAUGCUAAUACGGGAUAAUAUAUUUGAGAGGCAUCUCUUAAAUAUCAAAGGUGAGCCAGUACAGGAUGGACCCGCGUCUGAUUAGCUAGUUGGUAAGGUAACGGCUUACCAAGGCGACGAUCAGUAGCCGACCUGAGAGGGUGAUCGGCCACAUUGGAACUGAGACACGGUCCAAACUCCUACGGGAGGCAGCAGUGGGG